UUUUGUAACUUUAAUCACAGAAAACUUCAACAUGGAUUUCAAGGCUUUGAUCCAAGCUGAAAUAGAAAAGAAAAAGAGAAAAGUGGAAAAAAAUUCUGACAUUUUGGUAGUAGAGAAUAAUCUUAUUGUUAGACAUUUUCAGUCACAGGUGCUUGUGUCUGUGGAAUGGACCCCCUUUUUCUUACUAUUCUUUUUUGUGUUGUAAAUUUUUAAGUAAAUAUUCUGUAAAUUAUUACCUGCCUCAUAAAAUUUUGAUAAGAGACAGGUGUUGCCUGGCUGUGAAAGGGGAUAAAUGGGAGUAAUGUAUGAUAUCCAAUUCGAUUAAUCAUUUGUUAACCAGGUUGGGAGAUCCAGCCAUUUUAAAAAAAGGGGGGGGGGGUGUUUCCAACCACAUGUCCCCAUAAUUUUCAAAUGCAUUGAUCGUCCAAAAAAAAGGGUUUCCAACUCCCGCCCCCUCCUAGUGUUUAUACCUGUAUACAUGUAGAGGAAUAAUCCUUCUACAGAGGGAUAAAAUUAUUUUUCUCAGGGGCGGAUCCAGCCAUUUUAAAAAUGGGAGUUCCCAACCCAGGACAAAGGAGGGUUCCAACUAUAUGUCCCCAUUCAAAUGCAUUACUCGUCCAAAAAAAGGGGGGGUCCAACCCCCACAACCCACCCCCUGGAUCCGCCACUGCUUCUAUAGUGGGUGAGUUUUAUUAAGACUGGCCAUGGAUUUAAAGCAAAAUAAUUGUAUCCCUCUACAGAAGGAUUUUCCUUCUUUACAGGUACAAACACCAUAUAGAGGGUUUGUUCCCAACCUGUAAACAGCAGAUUUAAAUGACAUGUAUGAUAUAAAAAUUUGGCAUUUGUUGUAAAAAAAAUCUCUGAUUGUUCUCUUGGUAGGAUUUUUUAUAGGCAGUAUCUCUAUUUGGGAGGAGAAGCUAAAUUGACAUUAAUAGACUAUGUGUACUGGCGUCUUGUUAUAUAAUUAAAUACCCAAAUUGACAUGAUCUAUAUUCAUCAAGGUUUCCUUCCUCUAGAUGAGCUUCUAGCCAAAGCUUAUGACUCCUAUUUUGCUUUUGGUUUUGUAUCAAGUUGUCCUUCUAUUAGAUGAACUGCUUUAACAGAGCUAUGAUCUUCAUCUGACCAACUAUUUGACAUAUCUGGGGCAAGGUUGAAGGGUGCUAGGGCAUGUCCACACAUCGGUGGACCUACACACUUCAUCUCUGGGGCCCUUGCUGCUCUGAGAUCCUCUACAAUUUUAACUAGGAUGAUAGACCCUAGUUACCAUGUGCCGUCCCAAGGAGUCAUUGGAGACAUGGUAGAAGUCUUGAAUAGUACAGAGUCUGACAUGGUAGAAGUAUUGAAUAGUACAUAGGCUAUGUACUGGCAAAAAGACUUGCACACUCGGCUCUCUUUUCAACUGCCAAAGCAGGCUAGCCAGCAGUGAUAAAGAGCCUAUUGCUCCCACCACACUAGAAGCAUGCUCAUUCCUGUGGUACAAACCACCAGCACAUUGAUUACAUACAUGAUAUACAUUUUGUACAUUGUUUAUAUUUAAAUUUAUUAAAUUGUACUUUCAGAGUUCAAGUAAAAAAUAUUUUAAAAGAGGAGAUCUAGCCAAAAAAGAAGAAGAAGAGUAUUGGAAGAAACAUCAGAGAUUAAAAGUGCCAGAAAAAUUAGCAAAAACAGU
rnacentral:lncRNA from 1 species